rnacentral:ncRNA from 1 species
UAGAUAGAGGCGCGGGCUUCAAAAGUAGCUUCAUGCAAGGACAGGCAUCCGCAGGGAGCGAAAGGGGAGACCGCCGAAGCUUGACAGGGCUGCCUGAGCCCGCCAUGCUGGGCUUAAGGGGAAUACCCUUAGGACUGUCACAUUUUGUGGAGCGCUAUUG